AAGGAUUUAAGUUAAAUAAACUCGUAGCCUUCAAAGCUUCUAAUAAAGAAAUUUUCUUUAAGCCUUA
rnacentral:tRNA from 1 species